GAAAGUUUUAUUGUAGUAACAAUUUCUCUUUAGUUAAAAUUAAAUGUUUAGAAUAUGAUAUAUUGCUCCAUGGCUAAUAGGUCAACAUUAAAUUGCGUCCCCAAUUGGGGAUUUUACAUGCCAAAUGGAUGGUACUAGCAAAUCACAAGUGACAUUUCAUCUCACUCCUUAGCCUGCAGUCAAAUGUUUCACGUCAGAAUUUUUUUUGGUCUGCCAACUAAUACAUUUAAACUUUUUC